UCCGCCUGGGAAUUACGGACCCCAGUCUAAAAACCAAAGGACUUGGCGGGUGCUUUACAUCCACCUAGAGGAGCCUGUUCUGUAACCGAUAACCCCCGUUAAACCUCACCUUCCCUUGCUUUUAUCCACCUAUAUACCGCCGCCGUCAGCUUACCCUGAGAAGGACUAAGUCGUAUGCAAAAUUGGCACAGCCCAAAACGUCAGGUCGAGGUGUAGUGAAUGGGAGGGGAAGAAAUGGGCUACAUUUGCUAAUUGAAGCAAAUACGGAUGUCGUAUUGAAACAUACACGCUGAAGGAGGAUUUAGAAGUAGCCAGGAAAACAGAGAGUCCUACUGAAA
rnacentral:rRNA from 1 species